UCCAACCAUUAAAGAGCCAUUUAUGUCACCGUCGAGCUGGCUGGUGUGGCAUUCUGCCCGUUUCGAGAUCCCCCUGGCUCAUCCAGCAAUAACGACAGUUCUGAAAGGCGGUGGAAGCUGAUCUCUGUAUCAUCACCCCUGAAAUAUUCGUCCAUCUGAAGGCGUAGCAUCCCCACCGGGCCAUCAGCAUUGCAUCAUCCAUCAGAAAUGCCUCUGGCACCACAGUAAAGCUGGGCUCUACGACUUGAAACCCUGUGCCGGAUUCCCCCAUCAGACUAUGUAAUCUGUGGCGUAAUGAUGGACAGAAUUGGUUCUCACCUUUCUUUGUGGGCUCAGGCAUGUUGAGCCGUUCUCCGGUGGACCGGGCACCAGUCGAAGGGGUUCAGAGGU